CCUACGGGGGGCUGCAGUGAGGAAUAUUGCUCAAUGGGCGCGAGCCUGACCCAGCCAAGUCGCGUGAAGGAUGACUGCCCUACGGGUUGUAAACUUCUUUUAUAAAGGAAUAAGGUGAGGCACGUGUGCCUUUUUGUAUGUACUUUAUGAAUAAGGAUCGGCUAACUCCGUGCCAGCAGCCGCGGUAAUACGGAGGAUCCGAGCGUUAUCCGGAUUUAAUGGGUUUAAAGGGCGCGUAGAUGGUUUGUUAAGUCAGUUGUGAAAGUUUGCGGCUCAACCGUAAAAUUGCAAUUGAUACUGGCAGUCUUGAGUACAGUUGAGGUAGGUGGAAUUCGAGGUGUAGCGGUGAAAUGCUUAGAUAUCACGAAGAACACCGAUGGCGAAGGCAGCUUACUAAACUGCCACUGACAUUGAUGCUCGAAAGUGUGGGUAGCAAACAGGAUUAGAUACCCUUGUAGUC
rnacentral:rRNA from 1 species